rnacentral:rRNA from 1 species
GAUGAACGCUGGCGGCGUGCCUAAUACAUGCAAGUCGAGCGAACAGAUAAGGAGCUUGCUCCUUUGACGUUAGCGGCGGACGGGUGAGUAACACGUGGGUAACCUACCUAUAAGACUGGGAUAACUUCGGGAAACCGGAGCUAAUACCGGAUAACAUUUGGAACCGCAUGGUUCUAAAGUGAAAGAUGGUUUUGCUAUCACUUAUAGAUGGACCCGCGCCGUAUUAGCUAGUUGGUAAGGUAACGGCUUACCAAGGCAACGAUACGUAGCCGACCUGAGAGGGUGAUCGGCCACACUGGAACUGAGACACGGUCCAGACUCCUACGGGAGGCAGCAGUAGGGAAUCUUCCGCAAUGGGCGAAAGCCUGACGGAGCAACGCCGCGUGAGUGAUGAAGGGUUUCGGCUCGUAAAACUCUGUUAUUAGGGAAGAACAAACGUGUAAGUAACUGUGCACGUCUUGACGGUACCUAAUCAGAAAGUCACGGCUAACUACGUG